GGCGGGGUUCCAUCAGACCCCGCCUCGCUGUGGGAGCUUGGGGAUGUUUGGGCCUGAGGGCUGUAAUGGUUGGGCUGGCCUUGGGGUGGAAUGCUUUGCUGCGGUGGAAGGGGGUAGAAUCUUUUAAGAAUCAGUGGUGCUGCUUAUGCCUGCCAUUCCUGUUUUUUUAAAUCUCUGCUUAGAGGAGCAGGUGACUUAGCAGUGAAUUCUUGCUAUGUGUGACACCACAAACCAAACAAGCAAGUCUUAAUGAAGACAUAAGUUGACUGUGAUAGGACAAGGGGGAAUGCUUUUAAACUAAGACAGAGGAGGCUUAAGUUAGAUAUUAGGAGGAAGUUUUUCGCAUGGAGGGUGGUGACACACUAGAACAGGUUGUUCAAGGAGUUUGUGGAUGCCCCAUCCCUGGAGGCAUUCAGGGCCAGGCUGGAUGUGGCUCUGGGCAGCCUGGUCUAGUGCUUGGUGACCCCACACAUAGCAGGAGGUUGAAACUAGAUGAGUAUUGUGAUCCUUUUCAACCCAGGCAAUUCUAUAAUUAACUAUAUAUUGCUAAAAAGUAAAGAAAGAUUGAAAGUGAACAGUCAUGGGAUGGUUUUGUUUUGUUCAGUGUUUUGGCAAACCCACCAAAUGAGUCUUGCACAGCUCCCACAGAGAUGAGCUUAUUACAGGCACUGUGUCCAAUAGUGAAAACACCCGUGGGUAAAAUCAAGCACUUGUGUAGUGAUUUGUAAAUCAUCUAUUGGUUUGUAAGCUCUGUGGAGUUUUGACAUGUGUAAAUUCACUGCAAAUGCCAGAACUGUCUUCUUGGUGUCUCUCCAGUUCCGUCCGAUGGCUGCUGCAGGAAAGGCUGCUGCUUUCCAUCUGCCUCCUCUGCCAACAGUGGGGGAGAUCAUAAAGCUUUUUCGUCUUCGAGCACAGAAAGAACUUUCCCAGAAUUUUUUGCUGGACUUACGAUUGACAGACAAGAUAGUGAGACAAGCUGGCAAGCUGAAAAAUGCUUAUGUCUGCGAAGUGGGCCCUGGGCCAGGAGGAAUUACCAGGUCUAUUCUCAAUGCCGGUGUUCAACAACUCCUCUUGGUUGAAAAAGAUACUCGAUUUAUUCCAGGAUUGCAGAUGCUGUCUGAAGCAGCUCCAGGAAAAGUACGCAUUGUUCACGGAGAUAUUCUGACAUAUAAAAUGGAGAAGGCUUUUCCAAAUCACUUAAAGAAGAACUGGGAGGAUGAGCCACCAAAUAUUCAUAUCAUUGGAAAUCUACCCUUCAGUGUUUCAACUCCUCUAAUCAUCAAAUGGCUUGAAAAUGUUUCUAAAAGAGAUGGACCUUUUAUUUAUGGAAGGACGCAGAUGACACUGACUUUUCAGAAGGAAGUUGCAGAGAGGCUUACUGCUAAUACAGGAGGCAAGCAACGUAGCAGACUGUCCAUCAUGUCUCAGCAUCUCUGCACUGUUGAGAACUGUUUUGUAAUACCAGGCCAAGCCUUUGUUCCAAAGCCAGAUGUGGAUGUGGCAGUGGUGCAUUUCACUCCAUUGGUGCAACCAAAGAUACAGCAGCCGUUUGAGCUAGUAGAAAAAGUGGUUAAAAGUGUUUUUCAAUUCAGAAGAAAAUACUGCUGCCGCGGAGUCGAGAUCUUGUUUCCCGAAAGAGACCGUUUGAAAAAAACAGAACAGUUGAUGAUGGCAGCAGAUGUUGAUCCAACUCUGCGUCCUGUUCAGCUCACUAUGUCGCACUUUAGAAGUCUGUGCAAUGCAUACAGGAAAAUGUGUGAUGAAGACCCAAACCUUUUUGCAUACAAUUACAGAGAAGAACUAAGACAGAAGAAGAGGAAGCGUUCCCCUGAAAGUACAAACCAGCUAGAAGAGACUGUAGAGGAAAAUCAUCUGUAACUGCAGCAGACUGAACUGAGAUUUAACUUCUUGAUCUAGAGGUGUUGAUUUAUGUAUUCUUACAUCUCUUCAGGUAUGGAAGAAAUAACUUUUGAAAAAAUGGUGAAGGAGGCUUUCCUAUUUUAUUUGUUCUGUUCAGCUGUAGACAAAAGUUUAGGACAGUCCACUUAGAAUGUGCCUACUGGUUCUUCCAGUUUCCAAGGACAGAACGCACACCCAGAACAAGAUCCGUAACUGAAGAGAAACUGCAGUUCAUUAGACUUUUUCCUUCAACCCCCUAAUGUGUGCUUGUAGCUGGAAUGGUCAUAGAUAGACACAGCCUUGGAAUUUGUAGUUGCUUCAGCUUUUAAAAGCACUUGAUUUUAAUGGAUAAAAGUAAUAUAUAUAAGUGCUAUUUGGGAACAAACAUUCAAUGGAGAAAUAGUCUAGGGAUCAUACAUUAGCAGAAAACAUUAAUCAUGUCACUGCUGCUGCUAAUACUCUUAAAGCCCUUUGAUCUCUUACGAUUUGCAGGUUGCAGUACAUCGCCACUGAUACUCAGGAUAUACUCAGGAUACUCAGGUUGCUGCUUUAGUAUUCCAGUUUUGUAAAUGGCGCCAGAGAAAGUUACAUUUAUACAUCCUUUCAAAGUGAUCAAGGGUUAUAAACAGAGGUCUUCAGUCCUCACAGUGUUAAGGUAGGCUGUCACAAAAGCUAUCUGGAAGGAAGUGAUUCUUGUAUGGCAGUGUUUCAUCCCUGACAGAACCAUUGUAUUGCUGACAUAGAGAAGAUGCUGGAGCUUACUAUAUAGCACUAAAGACAAACAAAAAAACAGCUACAACUUAUUGUUACAUAAAUACUGAAUGCUUGUUUUUUCUGUGGUAGCUAAAGUUCCAGCCUAGUGAGAGGAGGUGGCAUUUUACCACAGCCACUUCCUCUUCAACCCCAGUACGAUCCAUUCUACGCUACAGCAGGAUCCUGCUCAUAAACAUCCACCACAACUCACACCAGACUUACCAUUUUCUUUUUCAGUUUGUAGUUCUCUUUAUACACCAGUAUUACAGCCCUCUUAAAAACUGAAAAAGAAAAGAAGAAGGAAAGAAGACUCUUAAUUGCAGAUACAAUAUUCAGUGAAAAUAUCCUGAAAAAGCUGAAUAUUAAAAGUCAUGAGACGAGACAAGCAAAGUGAUUCGGAAGCAUCUACUCUGUAUUAAAAUAUUGAGUUUUUCAUCCCACAUAUGUUCAUGCAGUAGCAAUAUUUAUUCUCAGAUCUUCUGAUGAACUUUUUAAGGUAAAGCCAUUCUGCACGUGCAUUAUGAAACUACUGGCAGCCUGGCUCUAGCAAGUCUUCACACAAACAUAUAAAGCUGAUGCAGUUUAGAUGUUAAGGAUUCAGGUUUUCUUUUGGAUGGAUGCCUUCAUGUGGAGUGAAAUGCCAGUACUAAGAGAGAACUGUGAAAAAGGAUGAUAAGUCUUCCUGCAGGCCAGCUUUUGUUCAGUUGGAAACAAACAUUCAUCUCAAUUCCUACUUCUGCAUCUGAAGGAAUUAUCUGUCUUCCACAGCAUCUGAGUGGAGUGGCUCACUAAUGGUAUCUAAUCUCUCAGCCUCCAGUGAGGCAGUGACAUGUUCUCUCUAAUCAAUAAGGAGAGAUCAGAAAACCAGGGACAUUGAAGGUGCAUCUGGACUAUGGGAUAGCAGUCCUGGAUCCCAGACUGGAUGACAGCGGUGUAGCUCUAUUCUUACUUAUGCAUCCGCAUUUCCUUCCAGUGGAAGAGAGGGGCAGUGAUAUGCAGUAGGCUGUCAUGCCUUCAUGGAGCCAGGAUGCAGACACAGUGAGCACAACAUUUAGUCUACAGUUGGGCAUAAUUUCCAUUAGUUUCACACAUUAAAUAAGUGCACUUUUCAAGCUGCAGUAGACUAAAGUGGGAAUAAAACCAGGUUUCCCAGGUGGCAGACAGUCUAAGCUACAUAUCAGGCCAAAGUCCCUUCAUUUAUUUAUACACACCCUGUUGAGAACUCCCACUUACUGGGCUUGAGUGACUGGCAUGUGUGGAUCACUGAGAGCUCAUCCAAGUGAACAUGUGGAAGCAGUUCACACUUCUUCUUCUGUUUAGAAGCACUUUCUCCCCUUAUCUAACAUGCUUAGAGAAACUUGGAAACUUAGGAAAACUUGUCUCAUGAGCCUGGAGUUGUUCUCUGGGUCCAAAGACAUUUUAAAUAGAUGUUUUUUAAAUAAAUAGACAAAUGCCUAAUAUGUUUCAGUGAAACUUUUUGAUUAGUAAGGUAAUAAAUGAUUAAUAGUACUUAUACUGUUUAGUAAAACUCUUGAUUCCAUGCACUGAUUUCCACUUACAUGUUUCAGAUUAAAAUAGUCUGAACAAGGACUGGCAGACAACACAUUUUGAUGUAACAGUUGUAAAACAGGUUUUCCCGUUUUCCCAGGAGUGAAAUAAAUCACCAUUUUCCUACCA